rnacentral:piRNA from 1 species
UAACUUUACAUCAGGGCCCAGAAGAU